AUUGAACGCUGGCGGCAGGCCUAACACAUGCAAGUCGAGCGGGGUUUUCGGACCUAGCGGCGGACGGGUGAGUAAUGCGUAGGAAGCUGCCCGAUAGAGGGGGAUACCUGUUGGAAACGACUGUUAAUACCGCAUAAUGUCUACGGACCAAAGUGUGGGACCUUCGGGCCACAUGCUAUCGGAUGCGCCUACGUGGGAUUAGCUAGUUGGUGAGGUAAUGGCUCACCAAGGCGACGAUCUCUAGCUGGUUUGAGUGGAUGAUCAGCCACACUGGAACUGAGACACGGUCCAGACUCCUACGGGAGGCAGCAGUGGGGAAUAUUGGACAAUGGGCGCAAGCCUGAUCCAGCCAUGCCGCGUGUGUGAAGAAGGCCUUCGGGUUGUAAAGCACUUUCAGCGAGGAGGAAGGGUGGUGUGUUAAUAGCACAUCAUUUUGACGUUACUCGCAGAAGAAGCACCGGCUAACUCUGUGCCAGCAGCCGCCGCAG
rnacentral:rRNA from 1 species